AUUGAACGCUGGCGGCAGGCCUAACACAUGCAAGUCGAGCGGAGCGGCGGACGGGUGAGUGAUGCCUAGGAAUCUGCCUGGUAGUAGGGGAUGAGGUCCGGAACCGGGAGCUAAUACCGCAUACUAUCAGAUGAGCCUAGGUCGGAUUAGCUAGUUGGUGGGGUAAAGGCCUACAAAGGCGACGAUCCGUAACUGGUCUGAGAUGAUGAUCAGUCACACUGGGACUGAGACACGGUCCAGACUCCUACGGGAGGCAGCAGUGGGGAAUAUUGGACAAUGGGCGAAAGCCUGAUCCAGCCAUCCCGCGUGUGUGAAGAAGGUCUUCGGAUUGUAAAGUACUUUAAGUUGGGAGGCGUUACCAGCAGAAUAAGCACCGGCUAACUACGUGCCAGCCGCCGCGGUAAUAC
rnacentral:rRNA from 1 species